rnacentral:rRNA from 1 species
CAAACGACUCUCGGCAACGGAUAUCUCGGCUCACGCAUCGAUGAAGAACGUAGCAAAAUGCGAUACUUGGUGUGAAUUGCAGAAUCCCGUGAACCAUCGAGUUUUUGAACGCAAGUUGCGCCCAAAGCCUUCUGGCCGAGGGCACGUCUGCCUGGGUGUCACAC